UUCGACUAGGAUAACAUUUUCACUACUUGU
rnacentral:piRNA from 1 species